GCCCAAGAGAUCGGGAUAACACCUGGAAACAGAUGCUAAUACCGGAUAACAACAGAUGAUGCCUAUCAACUGUUUAAAAGAUGGUUCUGCUAUCACUCUUGGAUGGACCUGCGGUGCAUUAGCUAGUUGGUAGGGUAACGGCCUACCAAGGCGAUGAUGCAUAGCCGAGUUGAGAGACUGAUCGGCCACAUUGGGACUGAGACACGGCCCAAACUCCUACGGGAAGCAGCAGCU
rnacentral:rRNA from 1 species